AGAGUUUGAUCCUGGCUCAGGACGAACGCUGGCGGCGUGCCUAACACAUGCAAGUCGAGCGAGAAUCUUAAAUCUGAUUCCUUCGGGGAUGAAGAUUUAAGAGGAAAGCGGCGGACGGGUGAGUAACGCGUGAGUAACCUGCCUUCAAGAGGGGGACAACAGCUGGAAACGGCUGCUAAUACCGCAUGAUAUUACGAAAUCGCAUGGUUUUGUAAUCAAAGAUUUAUCGCUUGAAGAUGGACUCGCGUCUGAUUAGAUAGUUGGUGGGGUAACGGCCUACCAAGUCGACGAUCAGUAGCCGAACUGAGAGGUUGAUCGGCCACAUUGGGACUGAGACACGGCCCAGACUCCUACGGGAGGCAGCAGUGGGGGAUAUUGCGCAAUGGGGGCAACCCUGACGCAGCAACGCCGCGUGAAGGAAGACGGCCUUCGGGUUGUAAACUUCUUUAAGUGUGGAAGAAAUUGACGGUACACACAGAAUAAGCCACGGCUAACUACGUGCCAGCAGCCGCGGU
rnacentral:rRNA from 1 species